UAGAGAUAGAUUGGUGUCUGCUUGCAGAAACUUAUAUACAGGUGCUGCACGGCUGUCGUCAGCUCGUGUCGUGAGAUGUUGGGUUAAGUCCCGCAACGAGCGCAACCCUCGUCAUUAGUUGCUAACAGUUCGGCUGAGAACUCUAAUGAGACUGCCUACGUAAGUAGGAGGAAGGUGAGGACGACGUCAAGUCAUCAUGGCCCUUACGUCCAGGGCUACACACGUGCUACAAUGGGGUAUACAAAGAGCCGCAGUACGGUGACGUGGAGCAAAUCUCAAAAAUAUCUCCCAGUUCGGAUUGUAGUCUGCAACUCGACUACAUGAAGUUGGAAUCGCUAGUAAUCGUAGAUCAGCUAUGCUACGGUGAAUACGUUCCCGGGUCUUGUACUCACCGCCCGUCACACCAUGGGAGUUGAACUCAUUCGAAGCGGGGAUGCUAAAAUAGCUACCUUCCACAGUGGAUUCAGCGACUGGGGUGAAGUCGUAACAAGGUAACCGUAGGAGAACCUGCGGCUGGAUCACCUCCUU
rnacentral:rRNA from 1 species